AUUGAACGCUGGCGGCAGGCCUAACACAUGCAAGUCGAGCGGAUGAAGGGAGCUUGCUCCUGGAUUCAGCGGCGGACGGGUGAGUAAUGCCUAGGAAUCUGCCUGGUAGUGGGGGAUAACGUCCGGAAACGGGCGCUAAUACCGCAUACGUCCUGAGGGGGAAAGUGGGGGUUCUUCGGCCUUCCCGCUAUCAGAUGAGCCUAGGUCGGAUUAGCUAGUUGGUGGGGUAAAGGCCUACCAAGGCGACGAUCCGUAACUGGUCUGAGAGGAUGAUCAGUCACACUGGAACUGAGACACGGUCCAGACUCCUACGGGAGGCAGCAGUGGGGAAUAUUGGACAAUGGGCGAAAGCCUGAUCCAGCCAUGCCGCGUGUGUGAAGAAGGUCUUCGGAUUGUAAAGCACUUUAAGUUGGGAGGAAGGGCAGUAAGUUAAUACCUUGCUGUUUUGACGUUACCAACAGAAUAAGCACCGGCUAACUUCGUG
rnacentral:rRNA from 1 species